rnacentral:rRNA from 1 species
GACGAACGCUGGCGGCGUGCUUAACACAUGCAAGUCGAACGGAAAGGCCCUGCUUUUGUGGGGUGCUCGAGUGGCGAACGGGUGAGUAACACGUGAGUAACCUGCCCUUGACUUUGGGAUAACUUCAGGAAACUGGGGCUAAUACCGGAUAGGAGCUCCUGCUGCAUGGUGGGGGUUGGAAAGUUUCGGCGGUUGGGGAUGGACUCGCGGCUUAUCAGCUUGUUGGUGGGGUAGUGGCUUACCAAGGCUUUGACGGGUAGCCGGCCUGAGAGGGUGACCGGCCACAUUGGGACUGAGAUACGGCCCAGACUCCUACGGGAGGCAGCAGUGGGGAAUAUUGCACAAUGGGCGGAAGCCUGAUGCAGCAACGCCGCGUGCGGGAUGACGGCCUUCGGGUUGUAAACCGCUUUCGCCUGUGACGAAGCGUGAGUGACGGUAAUGGGUAAAGAAGCACCGGCUAACUACGUGCCAGCAGCCGCGGUGAUACGUAGGGUGCGAGCGUUGUCCGGAUUUAUUGGGCGUAAAGGGCUCGUAGGUGGUUGAUCGCGUCGGAAGUGUAAUCUUGGGGCUUAACCCUGAGCGUGCUUUCGAUACGGGUUGACUUGAGGAAGGUAGGGGAGAAUGGAAUUCCUGGUGGAGCGGUGGAAUGCGCAGAUAUCAGGAGGAACACCAGUGGCGAAGGCGGUUCUCUGGGCCUUUCCUGACGCUGAGGAGCGAAAGCGUGGGGAGCGAACAGGCUUAGAUACCCUGGUAGUCCACGCUGUAAACGGUGGGUACUAGGUGUGGGGUCCAUUCCACGGGUUCCGUGCCGUAGCUAACGCUUUAAGUACCCCGCCUGGGGAGUACGGCCGCAAGGCUAAGACUCAAAGGAAUUGACGGGGCCCCGCACAAGCGGCGGAGCAUGCGGAUUAAUUCGAUGCAACGCGUAGAACCUUACCUGGGUUUGACAUGGAUCGGGAGUGCUCAGAGAUGGGUGUGCCUCUUUUGGGGUCGGUUCACAGGUGGUGCAUGGCUGUCGUCAGCUCGUGUCGUGAGAUGUUGGGUUAAGUCCCGCAACGAGCGCAACCCUUGUUCACUGUUGCCAGCACGUUAUGGUGGGGACUCAGUGGGGACCGCCGGGGUCAACUCGGAGGAAGGUGGGGAUGACGUCAAGUCAUCAUGCCCCUUAUGUCCAGGGCUUCACGCAUGCUACAAUGGCUGGUACAGAGAGUGGCGAGCCUGUGAGGGUGAGCGAAUCUCGGAAAGCCGGUCUCAGUUCGGAUUGGGGUCUGCAACUCGACCUCAUGAAGUCGGAGUCGCUAGUAAUCGCAGAUCAGCAACGCUGCGGUGAAUACGUUCCCGGGGCU